rnacentral:lncRNA from 1 species
UUACAGCCUAACCAUUACGAAACUUAUAUUCCGCCAAAAUAAAUAAAAGCUCAUGUAGCAAAUUAGCAAUUACAUUUUAAUAAGUUUAUUAAACCCAAAUUCUACACCUCUCUCAUUGACCCCCAUAACAACAAAAUAAAUCACUAUUUCCGUGGGUGGAGUAAAACCUCUCGCUUUGCUUCUUCCUCGCUGAUCGGACACCCAGCGACAAUUCAAAGUUUAAUAGCAAUUCGGACUUGUUUUUACUAUCAAGGGGGUUGUUUUAUCGAAAACAUUUUAAUUAAUUAGGGAAAAGAGAGCAGCGUUGUCAUGGCGAAGAGGAUUGCUGAUAAAGAACUGACUGACCGGAACUGGGACCAGGAGGAUGAUGGAGAGGAGGUGGGUUGUUUCACUGUGUUUCUACAGCCUCACUGAUUUAUUUAUUUCACCUUUAUUUAAACCAGGUAGGCUAGUUGAGAACAAGUCCUUUAUUUAACCAGGUAGGCUCGUUGAGAACAAGUCCUUUAUUUAACCAGGUAGGCUAGUUGAGAACAAGUCCUUUAUUUAACCAGGUAGGCUAGUUGAGAACAAGUCCUUUAUUUAACCAGGUAGGCUAGUUGAGAACAAGUCCUUUAUUUAACCAGGUAGGCUAGUUGAGAACAAGUCCUUUAU